AACGAACGCUGGCGGCAUGCCUAACACAGGCAAGUCGAACGAGACCUUCGGGACUAGUUGCUCUCGGGUGCGUAGCGCGUGGGAACCUUCCCUUAUGUUUGGAAUAACUCCCCGACAGGGGUGCUAAUACCGGAUAAUGUCUUCGGACCAAAGAUUUAUCGUCUUUGGAUGUGUCCGCGUUCGAUUGGUUAGUUGUUAUCGUAAAAGCCUACCAAAGCGACGAUCCAUAGCUGGUCUGUGAGGAUGAUCAGCCACACUAGGACUGAGACCCGGCCCACACUCCUACGCAACGCGCCAGUGGGGAAUAUUGCCCAAUCGGCGCAAGCUUGCUCGAGCAAUGCAGGGUGAGUGAUGCAGGACUUAGGGUUGUGAAGCUCGUUUACCCGCGAUGAUUAUGACAGUACCGAAAGAAUAAGCUCCGGCUAACUACGUG
rnacentral:rRNA from 1 species